rnacentral:pre_miRNA from 1 species
AGUAGAAAUUGCUGGGUAACAUGAUAAUAACUGUAUUCAAUUUUCUGAGGAACUGUCAGGAUGUUUUCCAAAGCAAUUACAUCAUUUUAGAUUCUCACAUCAAU